rnacentral:rRNA from 1 species
AUACCAGCUGGCUGCAACUGUUUAAUAAAAACACAGCACUGUGCAAACACGAAAGUGGACGUAUACGGUGUGACGCCUGCCCGGUGCUGGAAGGUUAAUUGAUGGGGUCAGCCGCAAGGCGAAGCUCUUGAUCGAAGCCCCAGUAAACGGCGGCCGUAACUAUAACGGUCCUAAGGUAGCGAAAUUCCUUGUCGGGUAAGUUCCGACCUGCACGAAUGGCGUAAUGAUGGCCAGGCUGUCUCCACCCGAGACUCAGUGAAAUUGAACUCGCUGUGAAGAUGCAGUGUACCCGCGGCAAGACGGAAAGACCCCGUGAACCUUUACUAUAGCUUGACACUGAACAUUGAGCCUUGAUG